rnacentral:rRNA from 1 species
GACGAACGCUGGCGGCGUGCCUAACACAUGCAAGUCGAGCGGGAUCCAUCUGGUGGCAACACCGGGGAAGAUCUAGCGGCGAACGGGUGAGUAACACGUGAGAAACCUGCCCCGAACUUCGGGAUAACACGGGGAAACCCGUGCUAAUACCGAAUACCCUCUACCGGUCGCAUGGCCGGAAGCGGAAAGAUUCAUCGGUUCGGGAGGGUCUCGCGGCCUAUCAGCGAGUUGGCGGGGUAACGGCCCACCAAGGCAUCGACGGGUAGCUGGUCUGAGAGGACGAUCAGCCACACUGGGACUGAGACACGGCCCAGACUCCUACGGGAGGCAGCAGUGGGGAAUCUUGCGCAAUGGGCGAAAGCCUGACGCAGCAACGCCGCGUGCGGGAUGAAGGCCUUCGGGUUGUAAACCGCUUUCAGCAGGGAAGAAAAUGACAGUACCUGCAGAAGAAGCCCCGGCCAACUACGUGCCAGCAGCCGCAGUAA